UACAUUUGCUGCUUCAAUGAAUACAUCAUUGAGUACAUAAAAAUCAUUUAAAUAAUAUUGGAAUG
rnacentral:ncRNA from 1 species